rnacentral:lncRNA from 1 species
AUGGAUGUGAACAAGAGGAAAUUUGUCGUGAGGAAUGGGGAGAUAGGAGUUGACAGCUCAGUGUGCAUUUCAUACUGGGCUGUAUGGAACCUGUCUGGUUUGUACAGGAUAGUCUUAGACCUGAAGAAACACUGGCUUGGUUGUAGAAUGCGCCAGCCUUGUGACCCUUCCCUAGCCCUUUCCAAAGAACUACAGAAUCCCAGCGUAGAUCCCGAACCAAGGCAGAGAAACAGGGAAAGUUACAGUGCCGCUCAAAGACCUUCCCACACAGUCUCUCUUCCCACAGCGGUGACAUUCUCCUCCAGGUGCCAUGAAUCAUUUCCGCCCCUUCCCACCUGAGGGAGUGGAAGAGCUCUCUCCGGAUCUGUAACCAGAAUUCCUACUUCACCGAAGAGAAACAAAUCUGGGUCACCUGUUCCUGGCCCUCAUCUCACCAGGUCCCAACUCUUAUCAUCUCCCAGGAACAGCAUGGAGUUGAGCUUUGCUGGAGUGCUCUAGUGUGCAUUUGAAUGAAUGGAAGGCCUCACCAUGAACUGAU